AGGGGCUUAGGCUAGACCAAGACCAAGGGCCUUCAAAGCCCUAAGCGAGAGUGAAAACCUCUCAGCCCCUA
rnacentral:tRNA from 1 species